rnacentral:rRNA from 1 species
GACGAACGCUGGCGGCGUGCUUAACACAUGCAAGUCGAACGGAAAGGCCCUGCUUUUGUGGGGUGCUCGAGUGGCGAACAGGUGAGUAACACGUGAGUAACCUGCCCUUGACUUUGGGAUAACUUCAGGAAACUGGGGCUAAUACCGGAUAGGAGCUCCUGCUGCAUGGUGGGGGUUGGAAAGUUUCGGCGGUUGGGGAUGGACUCGCGGCUUAUCAGCUUGUUGGUGGGGUAGUGGCUUACCAAGGCUUUGACGGGUAGCCGGCCUGAGAGGGUGACCGGCCACAUUGGGACUGAGAUACGGCCCAGACUCCUACGGGAGGCAGCAGUGGGGAAUAUUGCAGAAUGGGCGGAAGCCUGAUGCAGCAACGCCGCGUGCGGGAUGACGGCCUUCGGGUUGUAAACCGCUUUCGCCUGUGACGAAGCGUGAGUGACGGUAAUGGGUAAAGAAGCACCGGCUAACUACGUG